GGAUGAAAGCAGGGGACCGCAAGGCCUUGUGCUCCUGGAGCGGCCGAUAUCUGAUUAGCUAGUUGGUAGGGUAAAGGCCUACCAAGGCAUCGAUCAGUAGCUGGUCUGAGAGGACGACCAGCCACACUGGAACUGAGACACGGUCCAGACUCCUACGGGAGGCAGCAGUGGGGAAUUUUGGACAAUGGGCGCAAGCCUGAUCCAGCAAUGCCGCGUGAGUGAAGAAGGCCUUCGGGUUGUAAAGCUCUUUUGUCAGGGAAGAAACGGGUGUGGCUAAUAUCUGCAUCUAAUGACGGUACCUGAAGAAUAAGCACCGGCUAACUACGUGCCAGCAGCCGCGGUAAUACGUAGGGUGCAAGCGUUAAUCGGAAUUACUGGGCGUAAAGCGUGCGCAGGCGGUUUUGUAAGUCUGUUGUGAAAUCCCCGGGCUUAACCUGGGAAUGGCAAUGGAGACUGCAAGGCUAGAGUUUGGCAGAGGGGGGUAGAAUUCCACGUGUAGCAGUGAAAUGCGUAGAGAUGUGGAGGAACACCGAUGGCGAAGGCAGCCCCCUGGGUCAAGACUGACGCUCAUGCACGAAAGCGUGGGGAGCAAACAGGAUUAGAUACCCUGGUAGUCCACGCCCUAAACGAUGUCUACUAGUUGUCGGGUCUUAAUUGACUUGGUAACGCAGCUAACGCGUGAAGUAGACCGCCUGGGGAGUACGGUCGCAAGAUUAAAACUCAAAGGAAUUGACGGGGACCCGCACAAGCGGUGGAUGAUGUGGAUUAAUUCGAUGCAACGCGAAAAACCUUACCUACCCUUGACAUGGCAGGAAUCCCG
rnacentral:rRNA from 1 species